AAGAUUGAACGCUCGGCGGAAUGCUUUUACACAUGCAAAGUCGGGCGGCAGCGCGGGGGCAAACCUUGGCGGCGAGCGGCGAACGGGUGAGUAACGCAUCGGAACGUAACCCUGUCGUGGGGGAUAACUAUCCGAAAAGGAUAGGCUAAUACCGCAUACGACCUGAGGGUGAAAGCGGGGGAUCGCAAGACCUCGACGCGAUAGGAGCGGCCGAUGCCGGAUUAGCUAGUUGGUGAGGUAAAGGCUCAUCAAGGCGACGAUCCGUAGCUGGUCUGAGAGGACGACCAGCCACACUGGGACUGAGACACGGCCCAGACUCCUACGGGAGGCAGCAGUGGGGAAUUUUGGACAAUGGGGGCAACCCGUGAUCCAGCCAUUCCGCGUGAGUGAAGAAGGCCUCGGUU
rnacentral:rRNA from 1 species